rnacentral:lncRNA from 1 species
AUGAAUGACAGAGUUAUGACACUGGACAGGACACCAGCUCCAUGGGAAUCUUUCUAUCACAUUGGGUUCCAGCUCCUCUUUAUAACCCAGUUGCAGUUAACAAGAAGCACCUGCCACUCUGACUCAAUGACUACACAGCAUCAAAGACAGAUGCAUAUAUUCAUCCACAUGCAGAAGCAAAUGAGGAAUAUGUUCAGAGAAAACCUGGGAUCACAAUACACCAGCUUGGGGUGCACUACAAAUCACAAAGGAGAAAAAUGAAUGCAUGUACUGAAACCCCCAAACAACACUUUCCAAUUGUCUUGAAGUGUACCUGGGAGCACAUAAAGAAAAUAAAGAAAAAUCUUCAAUUUACUGACUUAAAAUA